CCAAAAUCUCACCCGUCGUGAUGGCGCCUAUCUCAAUACUAGGCAAACCGACAAUAUCAAUAAACCACAUAUCUUUUAAAUUUGAAAACAUAAUGAUUAAAUUCAGCGGAAGAAAUCUCACAAGUACAAAUAUACUCCCAAAACCCGGUGUCACUGAGUACAUGAGCAUCUAAUAUGAAUACAAGUCUAGAAAAUACGGUCUAUAAUAGUCUGAGACCAAAUACAGUAAAUAAGGAGAUAGGGAAGGAGAGACAAGGUCUACGAAACACGGCAGCUACCUCUGAAUCUCCCAAAAAUCAACUGCGUGAAAGAAUCAAAACCCGCUAUGUCCGGGAACACCUGAAUCUGCACACGAAGUACAGGGUGUAGUAUGAGUACAACCAACUCAGUAAGUAACAAUAAUAAAUAAAGAACUGAAGACGAGCUACACAGUUAUAGUUUAUUUUCAGUAAUUCCAGCAAAGAAUAGACAUGCUUUCCAAUCCAGUAGUUUAAGUCAAAUCAAUUUUAUACUGUUCAAGUUCAUGUAAUCAGGAUAUAAACUUCUUCAGAAAAAUUUCACAACAAUAACAAAUAGCAACUAAGUGCAACCACAAAUGAAAAGUAAGUACAUCCUCUCAGGGCAACAGUCACUCGACUCGUCACAACAGCUCAAACACUCAGCUCUCAACCCUCAGCACUCGCAGUCAAUGGGUACCCGCGCUCACUGGGGUGUUCAGACUCCGGAGGGGCUCCUACAACCCAAGUGCUAUAAGCACGGACAACUCACGUACUGCACGGACAACUCACGUGUCAUAAUAUAAAUAUCUGGAUCCGCACGGACAACUCACGUGCUAUAGUAUAAUAUAAGAAUCCGCACGGACAACUCACGUGCUAUAGUAUAAUAUUCACAAUCAGGCUCUCGGCCUCACUCAGUCAUAAAUCUCUCCAGUCUCUCGGACUCUCAAUAAUCAUGAAAUCCGCCCAGGCAGCAAUGAUAUGAUGCAACAAAUAAUGAACAAUAGAGACUGAGAUAAAAUAACAAGUAAACUGUGACUGAGUACAAAACAACAAUUUAACAGAUAAUUCAACAUGUAUACAACCUUUGUGGGUCCCUACAGUGCGAACACAUAAUCUAAACAUGAUUUACAGUCAAAUUUCUACAACACAUAGAGAGCAUAUGGCUAACAAUAAGUUAUUCACCUUUACAGUUUCACGAGACGGGCCAAGUCACAAUCCGCUCGGUGCACGCCCACACGCUCGUCACCUAGCGUGUGCGUCACCUCCAAAAUAAUCGCAUGACACAAAAAAAUUCGGGGUUUCAUGCCCUCAGGAUUAGAUUUAAAACUGUUACUUAUCUCAAUUAAAGCAAAUCUCUACUCCGCAAUGCCCUUGCCUCUCGAAUCGCCCUCCGAGCGUCCCGAAUCUAGCCACAAGCAGUACCAUACCAUUAAUAUAUGCUAAAGGAAUCAAUUCCACAAGAAAACUACUAUAUUAGACCCAAAACCCGAAAUCGACUCAAAUCCGACCCCCAGGCCCAUGUCUCGAAAUUCGACAAAAGUCACAAAACCCGAAAGCCCAUUCACUCACGAGUUUAACCAUACAAAAUUCAUCAAAAUCCGACAUCAUUUGGUCCCUCAAAUCCUCAAUUACACUCUCCAAUAUCCCAAGCCCUAACCCCUUAUUUCACCUCAAAAAUCCUACUAAUUAGGGGGGAAAACAACGGAAAAAUACCAUAGCUAGUGAUAAUAAAGCUCAAGCAACUUACCUCAGUGAAUAUCCUUGAAACCCUUUCAAAAAUCUCCCCAAAAGCUCCAAAGUCCGAAUUGAAAAUGGUGGAAAUGAGCAAAAAUCACGAAGUCCUCAAUUUAUACAUCUGCCCAGUGAAACCGCACCUGCGGCCCCUUUUUCCGCUUCUGCGACGCCGCAGAUCGCAGGUGCGGAACUCACUUAAGAUCCCAGGUUCCGCAUCUGCGGACAAAUCUCGCCCUUGCGAAAGCACACCUGCGCAUCUCCCUCUACUUCUGCGACGCCAGCCAAAUUCCUCCUCUCCGCAUCUGCGCCCAAGGUCUCGCACCUGCGGGAUCGCAGAUGCGACAGCCUUCUCACACCUGCGCCUUCUGCCCAGCUCCUCCAAUCUCGCAUCUGCGAUCACCCGCUCGCUUCUACGGGCUCGCACCUGCGAUGAGACAUCCGCAGGUGCGAUUAUGACAGUUGAGUUCAACUUCAGCAAUUCCUCCAAUUUCCAAACUUGUUCCGUUAAUCACCCGGAAUCACCUCGAGGCCCUCGGUACCUCAACCAAAUAUACCAACAUAACCCACAACAUCAUACGAACUUAGACAAAUCAUCAAAUCACUCAAAACAACAUCAAAACAUCCAAUUACACUCGGAUUCAAACCUAAGGACUUCUAAACUUCCGAAUUCCACCAACGACGCCGAAACCCGCUAAACCACGUCCGAAUGACCUCAAAUUUUACACACAAGUCAAAAAUAACACAACGAACCUAUUCUAACUUUCGGAAUUCCAUUCCAACCCCGAUAUCAAAAUUUUCACUGCCGGCCAAAAUCGCCAAAAUUCUAACUUCCGCCAAUUCAAGCCCAAUUCUACCACGGGCCUCCAAAUCUCAUUCCGAACGCGCUACCAAGUCCAAAAUCACCUAACGGAGCUAACGGAACCAUCAAAAUUCAAAUCUGAGGUCGUUUACACAUAAGUCAACGUCCGAUUGACUUUUCUAACUUAAGCUUCUACUUUAGAGACUAAGUGUCUCGAUUCACUCCGAAAUCACUCCGGACCCGAACCAACUAACCUGGUAUAACACAAUAUAGCUGAAGGACUCAAAAAGAAGCAGAAAUGGGAAAAAUGGGGCUAUAACUCCCAAAACGACCGGUCGGGUCGUUACAUCCUCCCCCACUUAAACACAUGUUCGCCCUCGAACGUGCCAGGAGUUGUUUCCAAGCCAUCAAAUCACUAUUCCAUCUUACCAUGCACGUAGCCAGGGGUGAUCAACACGUCACCCUAUUCUAUAUAGGUCUGACCCCACAACUUAACAAGAAAAAUCAUUAAUUUAACCUUAGCCCAAAUACCUUGAGCCAAAUUUCUAACAUCCAAAAUUCUUUUUAAGACCCAAAUCUCACAUCUACACACUGCAUAAUUCUGAAUGAGCUGCAUCGAGCCAUAACUAUAACCACAGAUAUAAUCAACUAACAUAUUACCCAACUCGCAUGCUCAUGGCACCAUUCCUGAUCACAGUAACUACUCCAAAACCAACCAAGUACUAGUAUUAAACCCCAUAUCGAACCAAACCUCGUUCCAAAACCUUCGUACACUGCUAAUAAUAAAAGAAACAUGCAGAAAUCUCAUGACCCCCUUAUCAGAGCAACAAGUCAUGGAGCUCUCUCGCCCCUACCAGAACCAUAAUCACUCUUUAAGCCGACUUUCGAUAUUAUUCUCUCGAAUAUACCAUAAUCAAAACUGAUAGUACCCACUCUAGGUCCAAUGACCCUAUAUUAUGAAACACAACCAUCCCACAGACAUGCCACACCAAUAUAACUCAGAGCCACAAACUGUGUCAUCCGUGCGCCAAUACGCAACAAUUCAAAUGUAUUCAGUCAUGGAAAAAUGACUCCAAUGAGAGAACUGCCCCGCCGAAUUAACAAGUACCGCCACAAAGAAAUGAUGAAAAUUCAUCACACACCGUAGGACCAUCACACGAUUCUAACGCAAGAUUCAUACCUUAACAUAACUCCGCUGCAAUGCGUGACCCCAUCCAAAUGUUGGUCCAUAUUAUCUACCUCGAGCCACCCUGCUCAAAAUCAAUAAGGACAGAGAGGCAAAUGACAAAAUGCCACAUAAAACCUGAAAGAACAUAACCAAUACGCAAUCGAUCAUGCAAUACCCAAAUACUCAUCUCGCUCAAAUUCUGCCAUAAGGCCCCCAAUAAAUCUGCACCAUGUGUGUAUAUAACCAAUGAUACAAAACUUCUCGUAGCAUAGAAGAAUAACUUACAGAUCAUUUCAGACCACGAAUAAGUUCAACAUCAACCGAAUGGCACAUCACUCAACAAUAGCAGUAGGGAGCCAACCAGACAGACUCGGUGUAGAAUACACAUCCUAAUCGGGCAUACCAAUGGACCCCAAAUCAACUCUAGUCAACCACAAAUAGAUAAAUAAUCCUUUGGAAGCCAACAAUGACUGAAUCAUAACAAAUACUAUCAUCUGGCUAGCUUCGGGCAUGACUUCACAGUCCACAACCAUGAAACAAUCUGCUCCUGAGGACUCCCAGUCUCCAAAUCCAUAGAACACAUGAAUCACCAUAUCUAAUCCCAACUCCACUACUGAAUGUCUAACACAUCUUUCAUACACGAUCAUCCCACGAGAAAUACUUCUAUAAUUCUCCCGUGCCAAUAGAAAAAUUUGAAUAUCAGCAGUCGAUCAACCAAGAGAGUGCCACAAUACCAAUGAAGUAUCGAUGAAUCAAAACAUAUUUACCCUUAUGAAAUGUAUACUCUCAUCCGGCCAUAUCGAUUAAUAAUAUCAUUUACCUAGCCAUCUAAAACCGUCCAUGCUGCCUACGAAUUUAUAUCUUUCCCUUCAAAACUGAACUGUGACCUUGCACCUGCAAAUCUCAAUCCCACACAAUACAUCGCGUCUACCAUGCCAUCCUGUGAACAGUACAAGAAUCUCAUAAUCACUUUGAGUCACAAGCAGAACACAUACCCGAUCAAUCAGAAACCUUCCAUUUGAUCUCCUCCCGGAGAAAAUCCCAGUACGCAACAUAUUCCUCACGCCGGCAGGAAAUAUACUCCUCGAACCGUGGUAAAAACUAUUGAGAACUCUUCGAAACCCAUUUGCACACAACCAAGCUAUUAUAACUGAAUCUCUCUAACUCAACCCAGCCACGCAGGUCGCCAAAUCCAAGAGUAUUGCCACAAUGCACCUGUAGAAAACCCCCACAUCAUAAGCACCCAAAAGAACCGAUCAUAUCUAUUACCAUGUUGUCAUAUUUCUUCGAGUACCUUCCGAAUCUAUCUUCAGAUUGAUACUUCUCCUUGGUAAAUUGCCACGAUCUUUAGCCACAACUCACCCCACAAACCUUAGCAUAGAACCACAACGCCCUACUGCCCUUAAGCAGUUGUAUUCUUCUUAAGCACCUUCAUAAAUACCCCAACUGUAACACUCACUCUGAAAAUACCUUAUGUGAAUUUAAAAUUGUUCUUCUGACCUUCCUUAUACUAAAGUAUAGAAUCCAUAGUCAUACAGAAUUUCCGUAAGUCCAGGCACCAUCAAAUACAAAUCUCAGAUUUUAUCCAUGCACAAGUCCGGCAAAAUUCUCAAUUGCUAUAUAUAAAUCUUGAAUCCAUUAGAACCUUCUAAAGAGUCCUCCACUCUGCUCAAAUUUAAAUUGCACUGCGCGAACGGGCCGAAAGACACGUGCUCCCUUAGCUUGCCCACACCUAAAGAAGUAACCCUGCCUUAACGUCACCAAUCAAAUUCAUACUUCGUGCGUACUACAUCCAACAAUAACAACUCGAUCAUCCCAUGAUUUUCAUAUACUCAUAAAGUGCAAUAUAACCUGCAUUCAGAAAUUUACUUACCCGAGUCAUCCUCAAUCUGCACCUCUGUAAGUCAUAACUAAACCACAAGUAUGCCUCAGACCAAAACUAAAAUUUAACACAUAACCAUGAAAUCAAAUUGUCAAUAACAGGCUCCCCCACUUAGCCUUAAGCUGCCAUUAUAUAAAAUUAGAACCCGCAAGGAUUUCGCUUUCUCAAUUACCAAGAUCUCGCACCGUUAACCCGCUAGACUUUUUGAAGUUUUUUGUUAAGCUUUUCAUGAACAUUCUGAAUCACCAGCCACAAUCACACACUCGACCUCUUACCGGUUAGCAAGUAAUAUUCCUCGCAGAAGCUUCAUCAACAUCACGCCACCACUAACUGCUCACAGGAGAUAACCCAUCUGUGAAAUUCCUUACCGACAUCUUCAAACGACGCUGCACUGGGUGCAACAACUACGUAAUCAGUAAAUUCUCCUGAGCUCAUGCUCGCCCACCAUUUGUAUAAGUCUGCACUUCACCUAUUGACAUCAACUGAAAGUUCAAUACUACCUUCCAAACUCAAGUCAUAUUACGCCUGAAACGAUAAUCAGAUCUUCACAUCUCUCUUUAUUUCAAACAAACUCCUUUCUGCCAUAUUUAAUCUUUCUCCGUACAGUAAACAUCACUCCAAAUAAAGUCUGUAGGCUAAAUCACAGUCUAUCACGAUUCCAAACCGUUCUACACUUUCACAAGGCACGCGACUACCCUACCACAGAAUCUUUAUGCUAAUCUGCCACUCUUACUUUGUUUAAAUUAUCUCCUUUAAGCAACUUCUCAACCUCUACUUCUCCUACUUGACCUGCUAGUACAUUAACCACCGCGAAACACUUCCCGUCAUGUCUUCCCUCAUACUUUGCUGCCCAACUGUUGCAUCAAAUCAAAAUGCAUCUAUGUCGCACCUGAACCAAUAAAAUGUUACCAACUCUAUGCCUCUUCGAAGAUCAUCUUUCUCGAGCCAUCAACAUUAGAAAUGCCCAUUCGCAACCACAAUUACUACACAAUCACUUACUCUUCUUGAGUCCAAACUCAUUAACAAGACAUGAGAAUUUAAUUUGUCCCACAAUUUAACAACGUGAAAGAUCCUUCAAUACACUCACAACUCGAGACUAUACGUCAAAUCAAGACAGAAAUCAAGUACCCAAUAGCAAACUCUUGAGUCAUAAGCAAACUUUAUUCGUCACAUUCAACCCAUCUGAACACAUCCAGCAGUCACAUCAUGCUUACCAUAAAGCCAUUCAAUCGCUCAUCGAGCCACAAAUCCUACUCGUGGGGAUAUUACCGGAUAUAGGGGUCCAUAUGCACAAGUUCUCACAACUGAAACUACCGAGCCUAAGUUGCGGCCUAUCCCCGGCCUAUCCCCGGCCUCAAGUCCUCCAGACUGGCCCAUCACCAAAACACAUAAUACACCUCUUGAACCUCGUUCAUAGAAUCACAAGUCAACGAUGCACAACUGAUACCGAGCGCUCAUAUGCGCAUACGAAAUGCAUGGAAGGAAUUCAAAUAGUUAUGUUUCAAGCUGAAUCAAUUCCGCACAAUAUAAUACAAGAAAGUGAAAUUUUCUUAAGAGUUUGGCAGCCUCUCGAAGAUAAGUACAGACGUCUCCGUACCGAUUCACAAGACUCUACUAAACCUGCUCAUGACUCGUGAGACCUAUGUUACCUAGAGCUCUGAUACCAACUUGUCACGACCCAAAAUCCCACCCGUCGUGAUGGCGCCUAUCUCAAUACUAAGCAAGCCGACAAUCUCAAUAAACCACAUAUCUUUUAAAUUUGAAAAUAUAAUGAUUAAAUUCAGCGGAAAAAAUCUCACAAGUACAAAUAUAAAUACUCCCAAACUCCGGUGUCACUGAGUACAUGAGCAUCUAAUAUGAAUACAAGUCUGGAAAAUACGGUCUAUAAUAGUCUGAGACCAAAUACAGUAAAUAAGGAGAUACGGAAGGAGAGACAAGGUGUGCGAAACACGGCAACUACCUCUGAAUCUCCGAAAAAUCAACUGCGCGAAAGAAUCAACACCCGCUAUGUCCGGAAACACAUGGAUCUGCACACGAAGUGCAGGGUGUAGUAUGAGUACAACCAACUCAACAAGUAACAAUAAUAAAUAAAGUACUUAAGAUAGUGACGAGCUACACAGUUAUAGUUCAUUUUCAGUAAUUCCAACAAAGAAUAGACAUGCUUUCCAAUCCAGCAGUUUAAGUCAAAUCAAUUUUAUACAGUUCAAGUUCAUGUAAUCCGGAUAUAAACUCCUUCAGAAAAAUUUCACAACAAUAACAGAUAGCAACUAAGUGCAACCACAGAUGAAAAGCAAGUACAGCCUCUCAGGGCAACAGUCACUCAACUCGUCACAACAGCUCAAACACUGAGCUCUCAACCCUCAGCACUCCCACUCAAUGGGUACCCGCGCUCACUGGGGUGUUCAGACUCCGGAGGGGCUCCUACAACCCAAGUGCUAUAAGCACGGACAACUCACGUGCUGCACGGACAACUCACGUGCUGCACGGACAACUCACGUGCCAUAGUAUAAAUAUCUGGGACAACUCACGUACUAUAGUAUAAUAUAAGGAUCCGCACGGGCAACUCACGAGCUGCACGGACAACUCAUGUGCUAUAGUAUAAUAUCUCACAAAUAGGCCCUCGGCCUCACUCAGUCAUAAAUCUCUCCAGUCUCUCAGGCUCUCAAUAAUCAUGAAAUCAGCCCAGGCAGCAAUGAUAUGAUGCAUCAAAUAAUGAACAAUAAAGACUGAGAUAAAAUAAUAAGUAAACUGUGACCGAGUACAAAACAAUAAUUUAGCAGAUAAUUCAACAUGUACACGACCUCUAUGGGUCCCUACAAUGCCAACACAUAAUCUAAACAUGAUUUAAAGUCAAAUUUCUACAACACAAAGAGAGCAUAUGGCUAACAACAAGUUAUUCAACUUUACAAUUUAACGGGACGGGCCAAGUUACAAUCUCCUCGGUGCACGCCCACACGCCCGUCACCUAGCGUGUGCGUCACCUCCAAAAUAAUCGCAUGACACAAAAAAUCCGGGGUUUCAUACCCUCAGGAUCGGAUUUAAAAUUGUUACUUACCUCAAUCCAAGCAAAUCUCUACUCCGCAAUGCCAUUGCCUCUCGAAUCGGCCUCCGAGCAUCCCGAAUCUAGCCACAGGCAGUACCAUAACAUUAAUAUAUGCUAAAGGAAUCAAUUCCACAAGAAAACUACUAAAUUAGACCCAAAAUCCGAAAUCGACUCAAAUUCGACCCCCGGGCCCACGUCUCGAAAUCCGACAAAAGUCACAAAACCCGAAAGCCCAUUCACUCACGAGUCUAACAAUACGAAAUUCAUCAAAAUCCGACAUCAUUUGGUCCCUCAAAUCCUCAAUUAUACUCUCGAAAAUCCCAAGCCCUAACCCCUUAUUUCACUUCAAAAAUCCUACUAAUUAACACCUUAUUUCACUUCAAAAAUCCUACUAAUUAGCUGGGAAAACAACGGAAAAAUACCAUAGCUAGUGAUAAUAAAGCUCAAGCAACUUACCUCAGUGAAUAUCCUUGAAACCCCUUCAAAAAUCUCCCCAAAAGCUCCAAAGUCCGAAUUGAAAAUGGUGGAAAUGAGCAAAAAUCACGAAGUCCUCAAUUUAUACAUCUGCCCAGUGAAACCGCACCUGCGGCCCCUUUUUCCGCUUCUGCGACGCCAUACCUGCGGAAUUUCCAUCGCAGGUGCGGAACUCACUUAAGAUCCCAGGUUCCGCAUCUGCGGCCAAAUCUCGCACCUGCGAAAGCGCACCUGCGCAUCUCCCUCUGCUUCUGCGACGCCAACCAAAUUCCUCCUCUCCGCAUCUGAGCCCCAGGUCUUGCACCUGCGGGAUCGCAGAUGUGACAGACUUCUCGCACCUGCGACUUCUGCCCAGCUCCUCCAAUCUCGCAUCUGCGAUCACCUGCUCGCUUCUGCGGGCUCGCACCUGCGAUGAGACAUCCGCAGGUGCGAUUAUGACAGCUUAGUUCAACUUGUUCCGUUAAUCACCCUGAAUCACCCCGAGGCCCUCGGGACCUCAACCAAACAUACCAACAUAACCCACAAUAUCAUACGAACUUAGACAAAUCAUCAAAUCACUCAAAACAACAGCCAAACACCCAAUUACACUCGGAUUCAAGCCUAAGGACUUCUAAACUUUCGAAUUCCACCAACGAUGCCGAAACCCGCUAAACCAUGUUUGCAUGACCUCAAAUUUUACACACAACUCAUAAAUAACACAACGAACCUAUUCCAACUUCCGAAAUUCUAUUCCGACCCCGAUAUCAAAAUUUUCACUAACCGACCAAAAUCGCCAAAAUUCGAACUUCCGCCAAUUCAAGCCUAAUAGUACCACAGGCCUCAAAAUCUCAUUCCGAACGCGCUCCCAAGUCCAAAAUCGCCUAACGAAGCUAACGGAAUCAUCAAAAUUCAAAUCCGACGUCGUUUACACAUAAGUCAAUGUCCGGUUGACUUUUCCAACUUAAGCUUCUACUUUAGAGUCUAAGUGUCUUGAUUCACUCCGAAACCACUCCGGACCCGAACCAACUAACCCAGUAUAACACAAUAUAGCUGAAGGACUCAAAAAGAAACAGAAAUGGGGAAAACGGGGCUAAACUCCGAAAACGACCGGCCGGGUCGUUACAAUGAACAACCAAGUUAAAAAGCUAUGUUCUUCACUAACAAAGAAUAAAACUUUUAAUUUCAUUUAAAAGAACCAAGUAGUCUUCUGCAGAGGAAAUCAUUGAAAUGAACAAAAUCAUAGUUCUUUCAGUUGUUGCUCCUUAGAGUUCUUAGUUGAGUACUUUUGCUACAAACAUCACAAGUUCUCCAUCAAAUAGUGCAUCUAAACCGUUAACAUUAAUAAUUAUUGAAACAGAAAGUGCGAAAAUAAGUACAAAUGACUUUAGAAUUACCAUGUUAAAUUAUUUGGCUAAGUUUCUGUAAUUCUGCAAGUUCUUCAAAGAAAAGAUGUAUUUUAUUAGUGCACUUGCUGAACUACAAGUAAAUUAUUUAAAACAUUCUGGCGAACCCUUUUUAUUCUAAAACUUCAUUGACAAAAACAAAAAUCUUUUCAAAAGUAGAAUUAUCAUUAUCAUUAUGCUGUGAGGUUUCAAAGUGUAAAACUUCAGUGUUACAUAUAUCAAACACAGUAGAAAACCAAAAGGAAAAUAUGGAAUUGAAUUAGUAUAAGUCGAAAAAAUAGACAUAACCUUUUUGCAAUACUAGUAGAAAUAUUUCUAAAUAAGCACUACACAGGAAGUAAAAGGAGAAAACGCCGUUGGUAGCUUUGAGUAAUUCCAAACAUUGAAUGUUUGGCAUGUUUCCCAGAAAACAAAUUAAAUUAUAUUAUGAAAAAUUACAGUAAGCAGAUAUGAUCAUUGCAAAAGGCCAUCGAGAGAGGCAGAACACACAGAUCAAAUCUCAAAAGUAGAACCAGAAGAUAGAUUAAGAAAGAGGAUGAAAGCGGGAAUGAACUGGGAGAGAGUUUCUUGCGUUGUAACACAAAUAGCAAUACUUUCAACACCUGUUUGAGUUACUCUCUAAUAUCGUAGUAGUAAAACUGAUCAAAUCAAUAAAAUAUACUGGGAUAUUCAAUAGAAAAUUAAGAAAUGCAAUAGAGACAGAAAAAGAAGUUACCAUAUAGGAACUCGGUUAGUUUCACGGUACUUCUAGUAUGAUGUCAACCAAAAACUUUUUUAUAUCAAUGAUCCCAAUCCCAAAAAAAGGCUUUUAACAAUAGGCAGGAAAACCUUCUUUUAUCCUUGAAGUUGAUAUUGAUAUAAUUCUGAGUUUACAUAGUGUCCUCUAUUUUUCUAUUUGUUUUUACUGGGAAGAAGAUUACCUUUGAGUUCACUUCUUUUUAGUACACAAAGAGAUUAAGGCAUGCUUUUAUUUUAGUAAAAGCACAACAUAAAAGCGGAAAAUUUUUUAAACCCAUGUAAUUACCUUGACAGAGUACAAGCCCAACUGGCAGAAGACGACGUUACCAAUGUUGCAAAAAGAUGACCAAAUAAGUCCACCUAAACCUUGGCCCUCAUUUGAAUAGGAUAAAAAUUCAACACAUAUUUAGAUCAAACCAAUAAAUAAGAUUAUAAUCACAACUAACAAACCUUGAUUGUAAGAGAAUUUAAGAAAAUAAUUUAGUUUCUCAGCAAACCUGAGAUAAACGCAAUCCACUGGACAUAACCUCUACCCCAUCGUAAGUUAUCAUCAGAUGCGUUGAAAUUCUUUGGCCUUUAGCUCGUCUCUGAAAAUUUAGCUUCGACAAACACGCAAAUAUUAUAUAAAUUACAAAAUAAGGUAGCUAAACCCAAAGGAAAAGUGACCAAAAAAUGCAAAGCAAAAGGAUAAACAUAAAGCUGAAGCGGUGAUUAUUAGUAGAGGUAGCUGCCAAUUAUCGUGAAAUUCUUUUUGAAACACCAAUGUCUUUGGCAAGCAGAGAUGUCAAGAAAUAGCCGCCUGUCUAACCUGUUAACUUGCACUUCUAAUAUAGUUUAGUGGGUAAUUUCCCGUGUAUAGCCCUGUUAACUUGCACUUCUAAUAUAGUUUAGUGGGUAAUUUCCCGUGUAUAGCCCGGGCACAAUGAUGUAGUUAGUACAACAUAAUUUUUAGGGUAUUUAUUGAUGCUCAAUAAUAAAACUUCAGCCAAGCAAAAUCUCUUAUAUUGCCAAUAUUUUAGCAGUAAUGAAUUGUGUUUAAAAUCUAUUGUAAACAGCUACACUUCAACAUUCGACAGGUUUAGGUAAAACAAAAAUCAACAUGAACCCAGCCCUACUACUCAUAAUAUCCAUUAAAAAAUCAAAUAUUGAUUAACAGACCAAAAUCAACAGACGCUAAAACAAUUUUCAACCAAAAUAAUCAUAAGGACUGCAAAUGAAACGCCGAAGAAGGUCUUACAGUGAAAAUGAGUUAACUUUGGGCCCUUAGCUACAGGAAUGACGAUCCUCUUUCUAGACUAUUGAGGACGAAGAAGAUAAAACUCCAAAUUUUAUCAAUUUCUGAAAUUCACAAACCCUAGCACGAUCUACCAAUUUUUCCCAAAAAGAAUCCUAAUUUUACAAUAUCCCUUCCCAUGAAUUCUUCAUUACUGUUAGAUAUUGAGUUAAAAUUUGGGAUUUACUCUGUUGUCAGUAAAAUUCUUAACUUUCUAUCUACAAAUUUAAGAAUUAGUCCGAAAUCGUGUUACACUUAUCAAUUGACCUGAAAUUCCUUGCUUUCGGCGUUCAGUGCUCUGCUGGGUUCUUUGAUUUCACUACUUUCUACGAGGAAAAUCCAUUGCUACACAAAACUAUGAGAAGGAAGAAUAUUUCUUACCAGAGGGUGUAUAAUUUUUGACGUAGAUUAUCAUUUAUCACCAAAGUUAACUCCCAGCUGUCAAAAGUUAAGUCCAGGUGUUGUGUUGUUAAUACAGUGAGUCACACUGAUAGGAUGCAAAACAUGUAAAUUUUAGAGCUGUAAAGUGGGCUUUGAACAUGCCUCAAAAGGUUGAUUUAUUUACUAAAUUCUUCGAUGGUAACAAAUGUAAUAAUACUGAAAACUAAGGGUAAAAAUAUAAAAGUUAACGCUGGCAUGUCGGCGGAGUCCUGUCA
rnacentral:lncRNA from 1 species